rnacentral:rRNA from 1 species
CGCACAGCACAUUACAUACCCCUCCAUUAUAUGUUAUCAAUCAUUGCUAUCCUUUUUUUCCCCCCAGAGUCCACGGCAUCCAUCACCAUGAUAUCCCACACAGAAUUCAGCCCUUAGAGUUUGAUCCUGCCCCAGGAUAACACGCCGGGCAGCGGCCUAACACACUGCAACACAACCGCAUAUGAUUAGAUGCUUGCAUUGAGAAAACAAGCGGCAGACGGGUGAGUAACGCGUGGGGUAACCUGCCCUAUCACACACGGAUAACAUACUGAAAAAGUUUACUAAUACAUGAUAACAUAUAUUUACGGCAUCGUAGAUAUAUCAAAAGUGUUAGCGGUAUAGGAUGGACCCGCGUCUGAUUAGCUAGUUGGUGAGAUAACUGCCCACCAAGGCGACGAUCAGUAGCCGACCUGAGAGGGUGAUCGGCCACAUUGGAACUGAGACACGGUCCAAACUCCUACGGGAGGCAGCAGUGGGGAAUAUUGCACAAUGGGCGCAAGCCUGAUGCAGCAACGCCGCGUGAACGAUGAAGGUCUUCGGAUCGUAAAGUUCUGUUGCAGGGGAAGAUAAUGACGGUACCCUGUGAGGAAGCCCCGGCUAACUACGUGCCAGCAGCCGCGGUAAUACGUAGGGGGCUAGCGUUAUCCGGAUUUACUGGGCGUAAAGGGUGCGUAGGUGGUCUUUCAAGUCGGUGGUUAAAGGCUACGGCUCAACCGUAGUUAGCCUCCGAAACUGGAAGACUUGAGUGCAGGAGAGGAAAGUGGAAUUCCCAGUGUAGCGGUGGAAUGCGUAGAUAUUGGGAGGAACACCAGUAGCGAAGGCGGCUUUCUGGACUGCAACUGACACUGAGGCACGAAAGCGUGGGUAGCAAACAGG